rnacentral:misc_RNA from 1 species
AUAGAAUAUAUAUUUUUUUUAUUUAUUCAUUUUCUCUUUAUAUAGGAUUUAUCAUAUAUUUGAAAUUUGGGUUUUGAAGGUGGAAUUUGAAAUAUUUAGUGGUCUUCAUAAGAUCAGAUAAAAUUCUACAAUUCUACUUUAAGCUUUGGUGAUUCAGUAUUUAGGCUGUUAAAUUGCUUAUGUGUUGGUGGUUACUUGAUGAUUCAACAUGUUGAUGAUUCACUAAUUCUGUAAGCAGUGCUAUUCUGGUUACUGAGAUCUUGUUUAUCUGGCCAGUGCUGAAGUGGAUGUUUAUAGAUGAAAUCUAGUUCCAGUUUGAUGCACGUAGUUUUAGUCUAGAUGGCAUUAAGACGUGAGACUUUAAUUUCUUCAUUUUCUUUGAAGUACUACUCUUUUUGGUUGCUUAUACUUUUUGUAGAGGAACCUAGCCAAACUGACAUAAAACAGAGACCAAAUGAUAUGGAAACUGAAUUGUAGAGUUCUGGCUGUCAGUAAUUGCUUGAGAACUACUCAAAUCUUAAAUAGAAAAAUUUUAAGUCAAUAGAUAUGCAUUAACCUAAAAGUAAUGUUGUACCAAAUGUGUGAGCCAUGCCUUAUGGACAAAUAUAGAAAAUAAGAAGUGAAUUUAGAAAGGCGGCAAAUGGAUAUGACUAAAUGUCUAAGUUGCCAAAAAGUAAAUAUUCAAAAACCUUGCAUUCUUUUGGCAACUCCAUAGACAAUAGGAGACUGAACACAAGAAGUGCAUGCAACUUCUUUGCUUUCUGACAAUUAAAGGUUCGCAAUUGUCAUUAUAUUUGCUCUAUGCUAAUGCACUCAUCUUCUUGUCCUUUUAUGAAAUGGUUGUAUCUAGUAUCAUUUAGCAUAUUUCAAAAACAAAUUGGACUGUUAAUUCAAUUUAUUUGGUUUUAUAUUCUUGUGACAAUUAACUGUUUUAGUCUCAAACUAGUUGGUGUUGGCUUAA